CCACCGGUCCCCCCUCCGACGCACCAUCCCGGACGCGCCCCCUGGGCCGGGACCCCAGGGGAGAAGGACUCCCUGUCGCCUGGCUCCUGUUGUCAAUAAAAGUCAUUGCUGCGUCUUCCCUCCCCUUUGUGUGUUGGAAAGUUCCCAGACGCGGAGACUGCAGCACAACGUGCAGAGACAUUCUCUCCCUUGGAGUUUUAGGAAAGUGACCGUGUGUCACAAACAUGUCGGACAAAAGUGAAUUAAAGGCAGAGCUGGAACGUAAGAAGCAGCGGUUGGCCCAAAUCAGAGAGGAAAAGAAGAGAAAAGAAGAAGAAA